AGUUCGGAUUGAAGGCUGAAAUUACGCCUUUAUUGAAGCCGGAAUUGCUAGUAAUGGCAGGUCAGCAUACUGCCGUGAAUACGUUCCCGGGCCUUGUACACACCGCCCGUCACACCAUGAGAGUUGGGAAUACCCGAAGCCUGUGAGCUAACUUUUAGAGGCAGCAGUCGAAGGUAGAAUCAAUGAUUGGGGUGAAGUCGUAACAAGGUACC
rnacentral:rRNA from 1 species